rnacentral:misc_RNA from 1 species
GAUGAAGAACGUAUCGAAAUGCGAUAAGUAAUGUGAAUUGCAGAAUUCAGUGAAUCAUCGAAUCUUUGAACGCACAUUGCGCCCCUUGGUAUUCCGAGGGGCAUGCCUGUUCGAGCGUCAUUACACCACUCAAGCUAUGCUUGGUAUUGGGCGUCGUCCUUAGUUGGGCGCGCCUUAAAGACCUCGGCGAGGCCACUCCGGCUUUAGGCGUAGUAGAAUUUAUUCGAACGUCUGUCAAAGGAGAGGAACUCUGCCGACUGAAACCUUUAUUUUUCUAGGUUGACCUCGGAUCAGGUAGGGAUACCCGCUGAACUUAAGCAUAUCAAUAAGCGGAGGA